UUGCUUUGGCAGCACAUAUACUAAAAUUGGAAUGAUACAGAAAAAAUUAGCAUGGCCCCUGCACAAGGAUGACAUGCAAAUUCAGUUGAUCAUGUGGCCUAAC